rnacentral:rRNA from 1 species
AUUGAACGCUGGCGGAAGGCCUAACACAUGCAAGUCGAGCGAGCGGCGGACGGGUGAGUAAUGUAUGGGGACUGCCCGAUAGAGGGGGAUAACUACUGGAAACGGUGGCUAAUACCGCAUACUAUCGGAUAACCCAUAGGGGAUUAGCUAGUAGGUGGGGUAAAGGCUCACCUAGGCGACGAUCUCUAGCUGGUCUGAGAGGAUGAUCAGCCACACUUGGACUGUGACGCGGCCCAGGAUCCAACGGAGGCCGCAGUGGGGAAUAUUGCGCGAUGUGCGCAAGACGGAUGCAGCCAUACCGCGUGUAUGAAGAAGGCCUUAGGGUUGUAAAAUACUUUCAGCGGGGAGGCUUUACCAGCAGAAGAAGCACCGGCUAACUCCGUGCCAGCAGCCGCGGUAAUAC